CAGUUAGAUAUUCUAUAACUAGUGAGAAUACUAAAUAUGACUAUAGCUUAAUUUUUCAGGUUGUGACUAAUGUUUUAUUAGGAUCGUGAUCGAGAUCUAAACAAAGUAAAAUGGGUUGAUCUUGGUGAAGAAGCAACUGAGAUGAUUUUGACGAAGAAACAACUAGAGUCACUAUUGGAGAUGCCUUUGGCGGUGGCUGGCAUGGGAAAGAAGAUAUCAGAACUACUUCGGUCGCCAAAACAGUGUCCUUGUCUUUUCUCUUUUUUUUUUUUUUUGUCUUUUCAUUUUUUUGUUUUCAUUUUAUUUAUAUUUAUAUGGUAAUUAUAAACUUACAGAUUUGCCCUUCAAUUAAAUGGUC
rnacentral:lncRNA from 1 species